rnacentral:rRNA from 1 species
AACGAACGCUGGCGGCAUGCCUAACACAUGCAAGUCGAACGAGACCUUCGGGUCUAGUUGCGCACGGGUGCGUAACGCGUGGGAACCUGCCUUUAGGUUCGGAAUAACUCAGAGAAAUUUGAGCUAAUACCGGAUGAUGUCUUCGGACCAAAGAUUUAUCGCCUUUAGAUGGGCCCGCGUUGGAUUAGCUAGUUGGUGGGGUAAAGGCCUACCAAGGCGACGAUCCAUAGCUGGUCUGAGAGGAUGAUCAGCCACACUGGGACUGAGACACGGCCCAGACUCCUACGGGAGGCAGCAGUGGGGAAUAUUGGACAAUGGGCGAAAGCCUGAUCCAGCAAUGCCGCGUGAGUGAUGAAGGCCUUAGGGUUGUAAAGCUCUUUUAACCGAGAUGAUAAUGACAGUAUCGGGAGAAUAAGCUCCGGCUAACUCCGUG